UUAGGCAUAUUAAUAAGGGGAGGAAAAGAAACUAACAAGGAUUCCCUUAGUAGCGGCGAGCGAACAGGGAAGAGCCCAGCGCUGAAUCCCCCGGGCUGCAGUCCGGCGGGAAAUGUAGCGUUAAGGAGGGUCCGCUAACCCGGCGUUCUCGCAGCUCGCUCAAGUCCAACUUGAAUGGGGCAUCACAGAGGGUGAUAGUCCCGUAGAGCAAUUGCGGUUCCCGGGUGGGCCUCUCCUCAGAGUCGGUUUGCUUGAGAGUGCAGACCUAAGUGGGUGGUAAACUCCAUCUAAGGCUAAAUACAACCACGAGACCGAUAGCACACAAGUACCGUGAGGGAAAGGUGAAAAGAACUUUGAAGAGAGAGUUCAAGAGUACGUGAAACUGCACUGGUGUAAGCGGUAGAGACCGGAAUGUCCGAAAGCCGAGGACUCAAGUCUAUCCGGGGCGGGCGCACGUUCGGGUUGGAGAUGGGGCGGACUGCUCGGUGCCUUCGGGCGAUCGAGUACGGACGUCCUACUCUGCUCGGCUGCGUUUCUCGUCUCGGUGGGCUGCAUUUCCUUCGGCUAGUAGGAGGCCGCGACCCGUUGGGCAGUUUUCGGUUAUGGCUUCGGGUGGCAGACCGCGGCGAGGCGGCGUACUUGUUGCGUCGCCGUCGUCCGCGGACCCCGGAUCGACCUUACCGGCGCUCGACGGUAGCAAUGAUUUUGGGUACAAGGACCGCACACACUUCUGUUGCGUCUGAUGCCUCUUCACGGGGCUAUCACUCGGACAGGUCCUAACCCUGGUCAGCGGCUCUGUUGCUUCUGGCACCUCGACCGACCCGUCUUGAAACACGGACCAAGGAGUCUAACAUGUACGCGAGUCAUUGGGUGUGAAAACCUAAAGGCGUAAUGAAAGUAAAGGUCAGGCACUUGUGCUAAAGACCUAGGGGUGAUGGGCCGUCCUAUGUGGCGGCCCCGCAACCCCGGGGCGUCUGUUGCUCUCUCCGAGGGCCGGCGCACCUAGAGCGUACCUGUUGGGACCCGAAAGAUGGUGAACUAUGCCCGGCCAGGACGAAGCCAGGGGAAACCCUGGUGGAGGUCCGCAGCGGUUCUGACGUGCAAAUCGAUCGCCAGAGCUGGGUAUAGGGGCGAAAGACUAAUCGAACCAUCUAGUAGCUGGUUCCCUCCGAAGUUUCCCUCAGGAUAGCUGGCGCCCAAACGAGAUCGGGACGAGUCCCAUCCGGUAAAGCGAAUGAUUAGAGGUCUUGGGGCCGAAACGGUCUCAACCUAUUCUCAAACUUUAAAUGGGUGGGAACCCAGGCUUUCUUAACUGAAGCCUGGGUCCUGGGAUCACGGGCGCCAAGUGGGCCAAUUUUGGUAAGCAGAACUGGCGCUGUGGGAUGAACCAAACGCAGAGUUAAAGCGCCUAAAUGUACGCUCAUGGGACACCAUGAAAGGCGUUGGUUGCUUAAGACAGCAGGACGGUGGCCAUGGAAGUCGGAAUCCGCUAAGGAGUGUGUAACAACUCACCUGCCGAAGCAACUAGCCCUGAAAAUGGAUGGCGCUGUAGCGUGCUGCUUAUACUCUGCCGCCGGGGCAAGUGCGUCGGCCUUUCGGGGCCGGCAUGAAGCCCCGGUGAGUAGGAGGGUCGCCGCGGUGUGCGCAGAAGCGUUCGGGCGUGAGCCCGCGUGGAGCCGCCGCGGGUGCAGAUCUUGGUGGUAGUAGCAAAUACUCAAGAGAGACCCUUGAGGACUGAUGUGGUAGAAGGGUUCCGUGUGAACAGCCGUUGCACACGGGUCAGUCGAUCCUAAGCCCUAGGAGAAAUCCGAAGUAGAUGCGCGCGUCUGUUACUCCGUGUGACGACCGCCAUCGGGCGAAAGGGAAUCCGGUUCCUAUUCCGGAACCCAGUAUCGGAACCGUUUCAUCGGGCCUCUCAUAGCUCGUCAGGGUAACCUAACAUGCCCCGGAGACGCCGUCGGGAGCCCUCGGAAGAGUUAUCUUUUCUCUAUGAGCGAGCAGGUUCCCUGGAAUCCUUUCGAAGGGAGAUAGGGAAUAGCUCGCGCAGAGCACCGCACUUGCGGCGGUGUCGAGGGUGUCCUCUCGGACCUUGAAAAUCCGGGCGAGGGCCACGUGGACGUCCGAUCUGGUUCGUACCCAUAUCCGCAGCAGGUCUCCAAGGUGAAGAGCCUCUAGUCGAUAG
rnacentral:rRNA from 1 species